GACUUAACAUGCUUAGCCCUACCGGGUCACCGGUGGAGUGCUGAGUCGUGUUUGUCAUCCUUCCAGAAAAUGUUGUUGCGCUUCACUGCGUUGACAACACUAUCUGGAUCUUUUACUUUGAAAAAAUUAGAGUGUUUAAAGCAGGCUUUUGCUAUGAAUAUAUUAGCAUGGAAUAAUAAUUUAGGACUUCGGUUCUAUUUUGUUGGUUUCUAGGACUGAAGUA
rnacentral:rRNA from 1 species